GCAGGCGUGGUGAAACUGGUAGACACAGCAGACUUAAAAUCUGCCGUCCGUUCAAGGACUUACGGGUUCGAUCCCCGUCGCCUGCACCA
rnacentral:tRNA from 1 species